ensembl:snRNA U6 U6 spliceosomal RNA
GCUUGCUUCUACAACGCAUGUAUUAAAACCAAGAGGACACUGAGAAGAUUCGCCUGGCCCUGCAUAAAGAUGACAUCCAAAUUCGUGAAUCGUUCCAUGUUUUU